UGCAGGAUGACGGUCCUAUGGAUUGUAAACUGCUUUUGUACGGGAAGAAACCCCUCCUCCUGAGGAGGGCUGACGGUACCGUAAGAAUAAGGAUCGGCUAACUCCGUGCCAGCAGCCGCGGUAAUACGGAGGAUCCGAGCGUCAUCCGGAACCAUUGAGUUUAAAGGGUCCGUAGGCGGCCUUGUAAGUCAGUGGUGAAAUCUCACGGCUCAACCGUGAAAUGGCCAUUGAUACUGCGGGGCUUGAAUUAUCGGGAAGCAGCUAGAAUAUGUAGCGUAGCGGUGAAAUGCUUAGAUAUUACAUGGAAUACCGAUUGCGAAGGCAGGCUGCUACCGGUGGAUUGACGCUGAUGGACGAAAGCGUGGGGAGCGAACAGGAUUAGAUACCCUGGUAGUCCACGCCGUAAACGA
rnacentral:rRNA from 1 species